rnacentral:rRNA from 1 species
CCCUUAGAUGUUCUGGGCCGCACGCGCGCUACACUGACGGAGCCAGCGAGUACAUCACCUUAGCCGAAAGGUUUGGGUAAUCUUGUUAAACUCCGUCGUGCUGGGGAUAGAGCAUUGCAAUUAUUGCUCUUCAACGAGGUAUGCCUAGUAAGCGCAAGUCAUCAGCUUGCGUUGACUACGUCCCUGCCCUUUGUACACACCGCCCGUCGCUACUACCGAUUGAAUGGCUCAGUGAGGCUUUGGGACUGGCUCAGGGAGGUCGGCGACGACCACCCAGAGCCGGAAACUUAGUCAAACUUGGUCAUUUAGAGGAAGUAAAAGUCGUAACA